GCUGAAAUUUAUUUUUGGUAGCUAAAGAGAAGUUCACAUACUAAGAGGGUUUUGGAUCAGAUUUCCCAACUCUUGACAUGUAAUGAUGAUUUUUUUGGUCCUGUGUGAUUGCCUGUAUCAGUCUGAAAGGGGCAGUGGGGGUCUCCUUGGUGAUGGUGACAUUUUCAGUGGAGUGCAAUAUGGCAGAGCUCCAAGGCAGCUGACAUAAUGCAAGUUUUCCAGACUGUACUUUUAAUUACGGAUACAAGCGCAGUGGCCAUGAAGUAGCCACAUUGCCCAGGAACCCGACCUCUUUGCAAAGAAAAUAAAUCAAUAGCAACUUUCACACAGACUGAAAUGAUAAGGAAUGAUGAAGUGAUUCAUCAUAGAUACAAAAUAAAAUAACCCUCCUGGUGAGGGAGAAAUGAACCGCUGGCCAGGAAAAUGAGUAUAUCUUGACUGUGCCUCAUGUGCUCGGAAAUUUAUGAAAUGAUCUAAAAACAUGACUAUAUUGGUAUAACUUGAGUUCUUUUGCCAGGUGUGAUCAGGCCUUUAGAUAUCUAGAA